rnacentral:rRNA from 1 species
UACAGAGGAUGCAAGCGUUAUCCGGAAUUAUUGGGCGUAAAGCGCGCGCAGGUGGUUUCUUAAGUCUGAUGUGAAAGCCCACGGCUCAACCGUGGAGGGUCAUUGGAAACUGGGGAACUUGAGUGCAGGAGAGAAGAGUGGAAUUCCACGUGUAGCGGUGAAAUGCGUAGAGAUGUGGAGGAACACCAGUGGCGAAGGCGACUCUUUGGCCUGUAACUGACACUGAGGCGCGAAAGCGUGGGGAGCAAACAGG